rnacentral:tRNA from 1 species
GUCUCAGUAGCAUAAUGGUUAGUGCACAGCGCCGGAUGGAUUGAGGCGCGGGUUCGAAUCCCGCCUGAAUA